rnacentral:rRNA from 1 species
GAUGAACGCUGGCGGCGUGCCUAAUACAUGCAAGUCGAGCGGUAAGGCUCCUUCGGGAGUACACGAGCGGCGGACGGGUGAGUAAUACGUAGGAACGUACCCCAAAGUGAGGAAUAACCAGCCGAAAGGUUGGCUAAUACCGCAUAUGCUCUACGGAGUAAAGCAGCAAUGCGCUUUGGGAACGGCCUGCGUCCGAUUAGCUAGUUGGUAAGGUAGAGGCUUACCAAGGCGACGAUCGGUAGCUGUUCUGAGAGGAUGAUCAGCCACACUGGAACUGAGACACGGUCCAGACUCCUACGGGAGGCAGCAGUAGGGAAUUUUCCACAAUGGGCGAAAGCCUGAUGGAGCAACGCCGCGUGCAGGAUGAAGGCCUUAGGGUUGUAAACUGCUUUUAUCUGUGACGAUUAUGACAGUAGCAGAUGAAUAGGGAUCGGCUAACUCCGUGCCAGCCGCCGCCGUAA